GAUGAACGCUGGCGGCGUGCCUAAUACAUGCAAGUCGAGCGAACAGACGAGGAGCUUGCUCCUCUGACGUUAGCGGCGGACGGGUGAGUAACACGUGGAUAACCUACCUAUAAGACUGGGAUAACUUCGGGAAACCGGAGCUAAUACCGGAUAAUAUAUUGAACCGCAUGGUUCAAUAGUGAAAGACGGUUUUGCUGUCACUUAUAGAUGGAUCCGCGCCGCAUUAGCUAGUUGGUAAGGUAACGGCUUACCAAGGCAACGAUGCGUAGCCGACCUGAGAGGGUGAUCGGCCACACUGGAACUGAGACACGGGCCAGACUCCUACGGGAGGCAGCAGUAGGGAAUCUUCCGCAAUGGGCGAAAGCCUGACGGAGCAACGCCGCGUGAGUGAUGAAGGUCUUCGGAUCGUAAAACUCUGUUAUUAGGGAAGAACAAAUGUGUAAGUAACUAGGCACGUCUUGACGGUACCUAAUCAGAAAGCCACGGCUAACUACGUGC
rnacentral:rRNA from 1 species